rnacentral:rRNA from 1 species
UGGGGAAUUUUGCACAAUGGGCGCAAGCCUGAUGCAGCGACGCCGCGUGAGGGAUGAAGGCCUUCGGGUUGUAAACCUUUUUCGCUCAUGGUCAAGCCGCAGCUUUGGGUUGUGGUGAGGGUAGUGGGUAAAGAAGCGCCGGCUAACUACGUGCCAGCAGCCGCGGUAAUACGUAGGGCGCGAGCGUUGUCCGGAAUUAUUGGGCGUAAAGGGCUUGUAGGCGGUUGGCCGCGUCUGCCGUGAAAUCCUCUGGCUUAACUGGGGGCGUGCGGUGGGUACGGGUUGACUUGAGUGCGGUAGGGGAGACUGGAAUUCCUGGUGUAGCGGUGGAAUGCGCAGAUAUCAGGAGGAACACCGGGGGCGAAGGCGGGUCUCUGGGCCGUUACUGACGCUGAGGAGCGAAAGCGUGGGGAGCGAACAGG